GAUGUAAGCACCAAAAAAGCUGCAAUUUUUUCUCUUUUGUUCAUGUUUUAUCCCUGAGUGCCUGCAAAUUGCCUGGGACAUGGUGGAGUCAGGUGGGUGGUACCAUGGAGCCAUUUUGGAUCUGGGCUGAUAUAAAUCCAAGGAUGAAUUCUAGCCAGUAGGCUUCUGCUCAGGAGGUGGAGAGUGAAUUGACCUUCUUUGAAAUGUUUUAUGGACUGUUCUGGAAUAUGUGCAGAUAUCCUGGGAAAUGAAGGGGUGGGCUUUUUUAAGAAGAGCUUGACCUUAGACUGCCCUAACAAAAGCUCAGUUGUGCAGAAAUCCAUCAGAACAAAACUGUGCACGUUAGCAGAUAUAGUUCCUGCCUGUGGCUGCUCACUGAGCCCACCGGGACGGGUUUAUGGCCUUUUACUUUAGAGGUAUGAUUGGUUUUCAUUUUCUACUUACUUGUACACUCUGUCCCUACUCUGCCGUCCUUGAGUAUCAGCCCUGUUUCUUCCUCUGUUUUGGCUUUCUUAGCACAGACCUUGAUCGUGACUCGGACUGGGUUUCAGCUGGUG